rnacentral:rRNA from 1 species
AUUGAACGCUGGCGGCAGGCUUAACACAUGCGAGUCGAGCGGAGCGAGGGUGCUUGCACCUUAGCUUAGCGGCGGACGGGUGAGUAAUGCUUAGGAAUCUGCCUAUUAGUGGGGGACAACAUUCCGAAAGGGAUGCUAAUACCGCAUAAGCCCUACGGGGGAAAGCAGGGGAUCUUCGGACCUUGCGCUAAUAGAUGAGCCUAAGUCGGAGUAGCUAGUUGGUGGGGUAAAGGCCUACCAAGGCGACGAUCUGUAGCGGGUCUGAGAGGAUGAUCCGCCACACUGGGACUGAGACACGGCCCAGACUCCUACGGGAGGCAGCAGUGGGGAAUAUUGGACAAUGGGCGGAAGCCUGAUCCAGCCAUGCCGCGUGUGUGAAGAAGGCCUUUUGGUUGUAAAGCACUUUAAGCGAGGAGGAGGCUACUUAGAUUAAUACUCUGGGAUAGUGGACGUUACUCGCAGAAUAAGCACCGGCUAACUCUGUGCCAGCCGCCGCGGUAA